UGGGGGAUAUUGCACAAUGGGCGAAAGCCUGAUGCAGCGACGCCGCGUGGGGGAUGAAGGCCUUCGGGUUGUAAACUUCUUUUGCUCUGAACAAGGCGCACCAUGGGGUGUGUUGAGUGUAGGGGUUGAUUAGCGCCGGCUAACUACGUGCCAGCAGCCGCGGUAAUACGUAGGGCGCGAGCGUUGUCCGGAAUUAUUGGGGGUAAAGGGCUUGUAGGUGGCUGGUUGCGUCUGUCGUGAAAGCUCAUGGCUUAACUGUGGGUUUGCGGUGGGUACGGGCUGGCUUGAGUGCAGUAGGGGAGGAUGGAAUUCCUGGUGUAGCGGUGGAAUGCGCAGAUAUCAGGAGGAAUACCGGUGGCGAAGGCGGGUCUCUGGGCUGUUACUGACACUGAGGAGCGAAAGCAUGGGGAGCGAACAGG
rnacentral:rRNA from 1 species